CAGACGAUCCGGAGGGGGCGAGCUCGGCACUUAUAGGUCCGCACCGGCGCCGGGAGGGGACACCUGUCCCCCGCCGCACUCUGACCUCCGCUCCCCCGCGGCGCGAGACGAGACGCGAGCGCCCGCACCAAGGCCAGCCGAGGCGGCGAGGCGGGGACUAGGCGAGCGAGCGGGACAGGUAGCGGCUGCCAGCGCCAGCCUCCGCCCGCCCGCCCACCCAACCCCACCAUCACCACCAGUCCACCACCACCACCACCACCACCACCACCACCACCACUAAGCCGAGGGCGGAGGAGGCGCACACAGCACAGUCCGGUCCCGUGCCUUGCCUUCCAAUUCGGUCGUCCCACGGCAUCGAUUGCGCCCGCGCACGCGCCCCAUCGCUUUGCCGUCUUCGGCCACCCGCAAGCAACCUAUAUAGCGCGCCGCGAAUUCCGCCCGCCUUCCUCGUCGUCGCGCCGCAGUGAGAGGAGGAGGAGGAGGAGGUCAGGGGGGUGAUGGAUCCCAAGGACGGCGAGAGGAUGGGGGCGGCGGGGCCGGGGCCGCUGUCGAGGCAGGGGUCGAUCUACUCGCUCACGUUCGACGAGUUCCAGAACACGCUCGGCGGGAUGGGAGGAGGGCUCGGCAAGGACUUCGGCUCCAUGAACAUGGACGAGCUGCUGCGGAGCAUCUGGACCGCCGAGGAGAGCCAGGCCAUAGCAUCGGCGUCGGCGUCGGCGUCGGCGUCCGCGGCGGGGGCGGGGGCGGGGCCGGUCGGCGACGGCGGCGCGGCGCUGCAGAGGCAGGGGUCUCUCACCCUGCCGCGCACGCUCAGCGUCAAGACGGUGGACGAGGUCUGGCGGGACUUCGCGCGGGAGGGGCCGCCGGGCCCGACGGCUGGCGGCGCGGAGCCGCAGCCCAACCGACAGCCGACCCUCGGGGAGAUGACGCUGGAGGAGUUCCUCGUCAGGGCCGGGGUCGUCCGUGACAACCCUGCCGCGGCGGCAGCAGCAGCAGCAGCAGCUGUCUCCGCGCAGCCGGUUGCUCCGCGGCCGAUUCAGGCGGUCAAUAAUGGCGCCUCCAUCUUCUUCGGCAACUUUGGGGGCGCCAAUGACGCCGGGGCUGGGGCGAUGGGGUUCGCGCCGGUGGGGAUCGGGGAUCAGGCCAUGGGCAACGGGCUCAUGCCUGGGGUGGCUGGGAUGGCAGGUGGUGCGGUCACUGUUGUGAGUCCGGUGGAUACGUCGGUGGCACAGCUGGAUUCUAUGGGCAAGGGGAAUGGGGAUCUGUCAUCGCCCAUGGCUCCAGUGCCAUACCCCUUUGAGGGAGUGAUAAGGGGAAGGAGGAGCGGUGCUGGUGUGGAGAAGGUCGUGGAGCGGCGGCAGAGGAGGAUGAUCAAGAACAGGGAGUCUGCAGCUAGAUCCCGUGCCCGGAAGCAGGCUUAUACAAUGGAGUUGGAAGCUGAAGUUCAGAAACUAAAGGAACAAAACGAAGAAUUGCAGAAGAAGCAGGAAGAAAUAAUGGAGAUGCAGAAAAACCAGCUAGGAGGUUUGAUAUAUCCUACAUGCAUAAAGCUUUGGGCAUAUCACACGCUUUAUUAUGUUUGUUGAUUCUUAAAACUAGCAGGGCAUGGUUUCGUCCAUGUAUCCUGAGUCUAGUUGUGAAUAUAAUUGGUCAGAUGCGGCAUGGUUCUCGCGUGGGCUGAGUGUAAAAGCCAUAAUCCAUGAUUGACACGAUUGUCCUGGAAGUGAUCAGCAAUCCAUACGCACAAAAGAAGCGAUGCCUGCGGAGAACACUGACAGGUCCCUGGUAACUGAGUUGUUGAUGAUCGGACUUGACAAGAUAUUUAACAUUAUGUACUUGUACAUAUCUUCAGGAUUUGGAGAACCCAAAUUUCUGUUGUAUAUUAGUGAUCAACAGAGUCGAAUGUACCAGUGCUGAACUUUCUUAUCCUGUCACUAUGCCUCCUUGAUUCAGUUCUGCAAGCCUGUUAGAUUUAUUGCA